GACGAACCGUGCGAACGUUGUUCGGUAUCACUGGGCUUAAAGGGCGCGUAGGCGGGCCUCCCAGUCCGGGGUGAAAGCUUUCGGCUUAACCGGAAAGUGCCUUUGAUACUGGUGGUCUCGAGGGAGGUAGGGGCAUGCGGAACUUCCGGUGGAGCGGUGAAAUGCGUAGAUAUCGGAAGGAACGCCGGUGGCGAAAGCGGCGUGCUGGACCUCUUCUGACGCUGAGGCGCGAAAGCUAGGGGAGCAAACGGGG
rnacentral:rRNA from 1 species